ACACUGGAGUCACCAUGAUGUUCCUGUGCUCUCUGACUGUGUUUAUCAUCAUGCUUAGGAACGGUUCUGCACAGUCAAUAGAACCACUGAAGAACAAAACACAGGUUCAGGCUGAUCAAACAGUUACUCUCUCCUGUAAGUAUAGUGGUAAUAGUUAUGGGGACUAUCUGCACUGGUAUCGGCAGUAUCCUGGAUCCAGACCAGAGUUUUUACUGAUGAUCUCUGCUUCAUCUGGAAAGAAUAAAAUACAUGCAACUCCUCCGUUUGAGCGACUGGAUGCUGAUGUGAAUGAAGGUGAUAAGAAAGUGGAUCUGAUCAUCUCCUCUACUGCAGUAUCAGACUCUGCUCUCUACUACUGCGCUCUGCAGCCCACAGUGACAGAAACCCACCAAACACUGUACUAAAAGUGUUUAUAUGUCUGAGAUAGAGCAGUAUUUGAACCAGAAGGGGGCGCUGUUUGCUGUUCAUUUCAGGCCCAGAGGGAAGAUCAUUUGAGCAAAAGUACAUCACAUUCCAUUUCACACAUCAAUCAGUCCUUUACACUGAUUAGUGCUCACACCCUUCCUGAUGGUUUACUGAUUUAAACCCAGAGUGUGGAUCCAAAGCUCACCAUGGAAAAAAUCAUCAGUCAGCAGACUGGGAAGAAA